UUAUUUGAGAGUUUGAUCCUGGCUCAGGAUGAACGCUGGCGGCGUGCCUAACACAUGCAAGUUGAGCGAUUUACUUCGGUAAAGAGCGGCGGACGGGUGAGUAACGCGUGGGUAACCUACCCUGUACACACGGAUAACAUACUGAAAGGUAUGCUAAUACGGGAUAAUAUAUUUGAGAGGCAUCUCUUGAAUAUCAAAGGUGAGCCAGUACAGGAUGGACCCGCGUCUGAUUAGCUAGUUGGUAAGGUAACGGCUUACCAAGGCGA
rnacentral:rRNA from 1 species